GCGGCGGUGAGGGUUUCAACUAACGAAAUGGACGAGGAAUUGGCCAAGGUGCAGGCUGAAAUCGAGCGUCUUGAGCCGCAGAUCCAAGCGGCUGGGGGAUCUUUUCUCUCUGCCUUUGAGAGUGGCAAUCAAUUUCUGGCGGAAUAUUGGCAGAAGGAGGAAAAGCAGCUGCGGAAGGAAAAACAGCAGCUGCGGAAGAAAAAAUUACAGCUGCGGAAGAUGGAACUCCUCCUCCUCCAAUGUAAUGUGCGCGGAUCUGGUAAGCAAUUGCGAAAGCCCUUCGUUUCCUUGCACAUGCAUCCCCAUUUUCUGUCCAGUUCUUGGUAUUCCAUUUGUCCAGUUCUGGAUGCUACUUUAAUGCUGUCUGUCUAGUAAUAGUUGGGUGUCUUCUCUUUGGGAUGACUGGUAUGUUUUUCGGCCUGACACUAGAGUUUGCUCAGUUCUGCUCACAAGUCUGUGCGUUCCUCCAAAGCCCCCUUGUUUGCUUUUCAUGUGUUUACUUGGUCAUUCCGCGAUGCCUUUUCUUUCAAAUUUCGUCGCUGCUAAUCUGGUAGCCCUCUCUGUCGAGUACCCCUUCGCCUCUCAGAUCUGUGAUGCGAAAUCCCUGACCAUAACCACACAUGGAAGAGAUGACUAACCGAGUUCUCCUCUCCCGCAGCAGCCUCUCUUUCACCCGGAGCAGCAGCAACUCUUUAUCCCGGAGCAGCUCCACUGUCCUGCUUUGCUUUCCCUGUCUGGUCACGGUUAAGGAUUUUUGCUUCCUGAAUCUGUUUCUUUCUUUCUGUGUGGAUAUCUGGUAAUCUUCGCAUCCUUGUGGUCAUUCUCACCCCUGUUUGCCCUUUGGCUGUGUUUAAUUCUGUGGCCAUUCCUCCAUAGACUUUAUUGUGCCUCUCACAGCAUCAGCGCCAACAGCGGGACUUCCUCCAGCCGAUUCUUAGGUGCCUGACAAGAUUGCCUGGGCCAAGAAGCUGAACGAGAACCUGACCGCAGAUUUUGCUGACGAUGGCACUGACUGGACAAGCCAUGCGACUUUUUGGGAGCUCCAUACUUCCGCUUUCUCUGGAAUGGAGUAAAACAUACAUGUACAUGGGUCGCUCACUCUUACGGAGAUAAAAAGUUUCGUAUCAGCCUUGAGACAUAGCAAUUUGGAUAAUGACAACCUUCCUCCAGACCACUGCUCUUGCUACUGUGGCUGGAUAUCUUUGGCAACUUUGGAAGAACACCUCCAAGAAGGUCGUCUUUAUCAAUGGCAAAUGUUUCAUUGACAA